UGCAGUCGAGCGGACAGAAGGGAGCUUGCUCCCGGAUGUUAGCGGCGGACGGGUGAGUAACACGUGGGUAACCUGCCUGUAAGACUGGGAUAACUCCGGGAAACCGGAGCUAAUACCGGAUAGUUCCUUGAACCGCAUGGUUCAAGGAUGAAAGACGGUUUCGGCUGUCACUUACAGAUGGACCCGCGGCGCAUUAGCUAGUUGGUGAGGUAACGGCUCACCAAGGCGACGAUGCGUAGCCGACCUGAGAGGGUGAUCGGCCACACUGGGACUGAGACACGGCCCAGACUCCUACGGGAGGCAGCAGUAGGGAAUCUUCCGCAAUGGACGAAAGUCUGACGGAGCAACGCCGCGUGAGUGAUGAAGGUUUUCGGAUCGUAAAGCUCUGUUGUUAGGGAAGAACAAGUGCAAGAGUAACUGCUUGCACCUUGACGGUACCUAACCAGAAAGCCACGGCUAACUACGUGCCAGCAGCCGCGGUAAUACGUAGGUGGCAAGCGUUGUCCGGAAUUAUUGGGCGUAAAGGGCUCGCAGGCGGUUUCUUAAGUCUGAUGUGAAAGCCCCCGGCUCAACCGGGGAGGGUCAUUGGAAACUGGGAAACUUGAGUGCAGAAGAGGAGAGUGGAAUUCCACGUGUAGCGGUGAAAUGCGUAGAGAUGUGGAGGAACACCAGUGGCGAAGGCGACUCUCUGGUCUGUAACUGACGCUGAGGAGCGAAAGCGUGGGGAGCGAACAGGAUUAGAUACCCUGGUAGUCCACGCCGUAACGAUGAGUGCUAAGUGUUAGGGGGUUUCCGCCCCUUAGUGCUGCAGCUAACGC
rnacentral:rRNA from 2 species